rnacentral:rRNA from 1 species
AACGCUGCGGGCGUGCUUAACACAUGCAAGUCGAACGAGAAGUACGUAGCAAUACGUAUUGUAAAGUGGCGCACGGGUGAGUAACACGUGGGUAAUCUGCCCUCGAGUUUGGGAUAACCCCGCGAAAGCGGGGCUAAUACCGAAUAAGACCACGGGGACCAAAGUCCCUGAGGUAAAAGAUGGCCUCUAUUUAUAAGCUAUCACUUGAGGAUGAGCCCGCGGCCCAUUAGCUAGUUGGUAGGGUAACGGCCUACCAAGGCUAUGAUGGGUAGCUGGUCUGAGAGGACGAUCAGCCACACUGGAACUGAGACACGGUCCAGACUCCUACGGGAGGCAGCAGUGGGGAAUAUUGCGCAAUGGGCGAAAGCCUGACGCAGCAACGCCGCGUGGGGGAUGAAGGUUUUCGGAUUGUAAACCCCUUUCGACCGGAACGAAUCUCCUCUUGGUAAAUAAUCAGGAGGAUCGACGGUACCGGGAGAAGAAGCCACGGCUAACUCUGUGCCAGCAGCCGCGGUAAGACAGAGGUGGCGAGCGUUGUUCGGAUUUAUUGGGCGUAAAGCGAACGCAGGUGGUUUGGUAAGUCAGGGGUGAAAGCCCACAGCUUAACUGUGGCACUGCCUUUGAUACUGCCUUUCUUGAGUGCAUGAGGGGGAAGCGGAAUUCCGAGUGUAGAGGUGAAAUUCGUAGAUAUUCGGAGGAACACCGGUGGCGAAGGCGGCUUCCUGGCAUGUAACUGACACUCAUGUUCGAAAGCGUGGGUAGCAAACAGGAUUAGAUACCCUGGUAGUCCACGCCCUAAACGAUGGGCACUAGGUGUGGGAGGUAUCGACCCCUUCCGUGCCGCAGCUAACGCAUUAAGUGCCCCGCCUGGGGAGUACGGCCCGCAGGGUUGAACUCAAAG